rnacentral:rRNA from 1 species
UACGUAGGGACCGGGCGUUGUCCGGAAUCAUUGGGCGUAAAGAGCGCGUAGGCGGUCCGGUAAGUCGGUUGUGAAAACUGGGGGCUCAACCCUCAGAGGCCGACCGAUACUGUCGGGCUAGAGUCCGGAAGAGGCGAGUGGAAUUCCUGGUGUAGCGGUGAAAUGCGCAGAUAUCAGGAGGAACACCAAUGGCGAAGGCAGCUCGCUGGGACGGUACUGACGCUGAGGCGCGAAAGCGUGGGGAGCAAACGGG